rnacentral:tRNA from 1 species
AUUUAAGUAGUUUAUAAAAAAUUUUGAUUUGUGGUAUCAAAGAAAUAAGUUAGUUAUCUUAAAUC